rnacentral:rRNA from 1 species
AACGAACGCUGGCGGCGUGCCUAACACAUGCAAGUCGAACGAUACCUUCGGGUCUAGUGGCUCACGGGUUCGUAACGCGUGGGAACCUACCCUUAUGUUCGGCAUCACUCCCCGAAAGGGGUGCUAAUACCGGAUACUGUCUUCGGACCAAAGAUUUCUCGCCUUUGGAUGGUCACGCGUUGGAUUAGCUAGUUGGUAGGGUAAAAGCCUACCAAGGCGACGGUCCAUAGCUGGUCUGAGAGGAUCGUCAGCCACACUGGGACUGAGACACAGCCCAGACUCCUACGGGAGGCAGGAGUGGGGAAUAUUGGACAAUGGGCGAAAGCCUGAUGGAGCAAUGCCGCGUGAGUGAUGAAGGCCUUAGGGUUGUAAAGCUCUUUUACCCGGGAUGAUAAUGACAGUACCGGGAGAAUAAGCUCCGGCUAACUCCGUG